CAACUCCCAAACCCCUGUGAACAUACCUUAAUGUUGCCUCGGCGGAUCAGCCCGCUCCCCGUAAAACGGGACGGCCCGCCAGAGGACCCAAACUCUAAUGUUUCUUAUUGUAACUUCUGAGUAAAACAAACAAAUAAAUCAAAACUUUCAACAACGGAUCUCUUGGUUCUGGCAUCGAUGAAGAACGCAGCAAAAUGCGAUAAGUAAUGUGAAUUGCAGAAUUCAGUGAAUCAUCGAAUCUUUGAACGCACAUUGCGCCCGCUGGUAUUCCGGCGGGCAUGCCUGUUCGAGCGUCAUUUCAACCCUCAAGCCCCCGGGUUUGGUGUUGGGGAUCGGCUCUGCCUCACGGCGGUGCCGCCCCCGAAAUACAUUGGCGGUCUCGCUGCAGCCUCCAUUGCGUAGUAGCUAACACCUCGCAACUGGAACGCGGCGCGGCCAUGCCGUAAAACCCCAACUUCUGAAUGUUGACCUCGGAUCAGGUAGGAAUACCCGCUGAACUUAAGCAUAUCAAA
rnacentral:rRNA from 1 species